UGGGGAAUAUUGGACAAUGGGCGAAAGCCUGACCCAGCCAUGCCGCGUGUGUGAAGAAGGUCUUCGUAUUGUAAAGCACUUUAAGUUGGGACGAAGGGCAGUAAGCGAAUACCUUGCUGUUUUGACGUUACCGACAGAAUAAGCACCGGCUAACUCUGUGCCAGCAGCCGCGGUAAUACAGAGGGUGCAAGCGUUAAUCGGAAUUACUUGGCGUAAAGCGCGCGUAGGUGGUUCGUUAAGUUGAAUGUGAAAGCCCCGGGCUCAACCUGGGAACUGCAACCAAGACUGGCGAGCUAGAGUAGGGCAGAGGGUGGUGGAAUUUCCUGUGUAGCGGUGAAAUGCGUAGAUAUAGGAAGGAACACCAGUGGCGAAGGCGACCACCUGGGCUCAUACUGACACUGAGGUGCGAAAGCGUGGGGAGCAAACAGG
rnacentral:rRNA from 1 species